AAAAAUGACGACCUCCAUGGAAAUUGCGUGCACGCGCGCCGUAUCGGAAAAUCGUGUCGGUAUGAAUGGGAGUGCUCGAGCCGGAAGCGAGCAUCGUGGCGCGUCCGAAAAAGGAAGUGGAAAAAUCGCUGUGAUCCCCCUCGUCGUCGUAACGACCGGCCGGCGAUCCGAGAUCGAGAGGUGUGGAAUCCGUUCCGGUUGACGUAAUCGUUGCCGGAUGCUUAGGCGCUUCCCCGAAAGAGUUACGAUGAUCUUUGUCGGUUGCAAAUGUACGGAUGUUUUCGCGAUCGGCCGGACCGAUACCAACCUGCUCAACACACCUGUACACGGAAGCGGCUGGCCGUGCCCCUCGUGUCCGAACUCUGACACAACUAUAAAUGCACGGACAGCUUCAGGGAUUCGAGUGACAUAAUGGUCGGAUGACUACACGAUGACUGUUAAAUGUGCAGCGAACUUGCGGGAUGGCAGAGAUUACCUCGAACGACGACGCCGGUUGCGGUAACAGCGCGGUACCUGCUCGUCAUUGUUGCCGCUUAUUGUCGGAUGCACGCAUAAUGCGAACCCUAAUUUCGCAGCGUGCACCUGCAGGCCGCGCCGCGGCCGCGUCCGCUGCGAUCUCGCCGCGUCUCUUUCCCGUAAGGAAAGAUCGUCUCGGGGAGCUUUGUUUAGAAAAUUAGCAAUUUGCUUGAGAGAAUCUGUAAUCUCGCUGUUCGAUGAAUUAUUUAUUACCGAGGAAAAUGACUUCACUGGUGAAACUGUUGGUUCGUCGCUUCGUAUCUCGCGACCGAAGCGUUAUCACGGGAAAGUUUCUUUCGCGGUUGCCAAUUUACAGUCAAUUCUCCCUAAUUGACGCUACGAGUGUGCACAAAAGUGGACGAUUCACCGAUUGUCAACGUCUGUAAAAAUUAAAAUUUAUCUAUCUGAAAUUGUGAACUGCGCUGUGAGCAAUUAUUUAUAAUAAUAAAAUAAUAAUAUAUAUAAUA